rnacentral:rRNA from 1 species
UGCAGUCGAACGGUAACAUAGAUUGCUUGCAAUCUGAUGACGAGUGGCGAACGGGUGCGUAACGCGUAUGCAACCUACCUUCAAUCGGGGAAUACCCCAGAGAAAUUUGGAAUAAUACCCCAUAGUACAACAAAUUCGCAUGUUUUUGUUGUUAAAGUUUAGGCGAUUGAAGAUGGGCAUGCGUGACAUUAGUUAGUUGGUAAGGUAACGGCUUACCAAGACAACGAUGUCUAGGGGUUCUGAGAGGAUGAUCCCCCACACUGGUACUGAGACACGGACCAGACUCCUACGGGAGGCAGCAGUGAGGAAUAUUGGACAAUGGGCGAGAGCCUGAUCCAGCCAUGCCGCGUGAAGGAUGACUGCCCUAUGGGUUGUAAACUUCUUUUAUGUAGGAAGAAACCCUAUCUCGUGAGAUAGGCUGACGGUACUACACGAAUAAGGACCGGCUAACUCCGUGCCAGCAGCCGCGGUAAUACGGAGGGUCCAAGCGUUAUCCGGAUUUAUUGGGUUUAAAGGGUGCGUAGGCGGGAAAUUAAGUCAGUGGUGAAAGCCCACAGCUCAACUGUGGAACUGCCAUUGAAACUGAUUUUCUCGAAUAUGAUUGAAGUGGGCGGAAUAUGACAUGUAGCGGUGAAAUGCUUAGAUAUGUCAUAGAACACCGAUAGCGAAGGCAGCUCACUAAGUCAUCAUUGACGCUGAGGCACGAAAGCGUGGGGAGCGAACAGGAUUAGAUACCCUGGUAGUCCACGCCGUANACUAUGAUCACUUGCUAUUGGCGAUAUACUGUCAGUGGCAUAGCGAAAGUGUUAAGUGAUCCACCUGGGGAGUACGAU